GUGACGACUCGCUGUCAAUGUGUCACAUGACCAAAACAGUGUAGAGGUAAGAAGCAGCAGUUAGCCUUAAUGUUAUCUACAGAGAAAUGCCGCAGAAAGAUCCUUGUCAAAAGCAGGCAUGCGCCAUCCAGAAGUGUUUGCAAGCUAAUAAGUACAUGGAGAGUAUGUGCGAGGAGGUGAUCCAAAACAUGCGGCGGUGCUGUGAAGUCCACAGGGGAAACUCGACCUGCUGCUCCGGUUUUAAGGACUCCAAACCGACUGAAAACAAGAACGAAACAUAAAUCACCCGUUCUCCUUUAAGUAGUGGUAGAAAGCUCCACUACAACAAUACAGCAGACCUCAAACAAGGCGAUGCACACAGAAGGAAUCCUUUGUGUCUCACUUCUUGCUGGUGGUUAGCUCCAGCAGUUUGUGGGCGAAAGGCAGGGUUCAACCUGGACAGACAGCCAGUCCAUCACUGGGCAACAAAGAGAGACACAUGUGCACACUUAUACCCGAUGUAAAUGUAGACAGACUGAAUAAUCUAACAGUUAUGUUUAUUGUACUGUAGGAGGAAGCUGGAGUACCCAGAGAGAACCAGUGAAUACACGAAAGACCAUGCAGAAAGACACAAGACAGGGAUUUGAACCCAAGACCUUCAUAUCCCUACUUUAUUGUUAGGAUUCUGGAAUUUCUGCAGCAUUUUAAAAAAAUUAUAAGGAAGAUAUGGGGGGAAUUUUUUUGGCCUUUUAAAUGCUCAUUUGUAACCAAAACAAAAUACAUUCUGUUGUCUUGCCAAACUA